rnacentral:rRNA from 1 species
UUCGCAGGCGGCGUAUUAGGUCAGUGGUGAAAUCCCUCGGCUCAACCGAGGAACUGCCAUUGAUACUGGUAUGCUAGAGUAUAGUUGGCGUAGGCGGAAUGUAUCAUGUAGCGGUGAAAUGCUUAGAUAUGAUACAGAACACCGAUCGCGAAGGCAGCUUACGAAACUAUAACUGACGCUCAGGAACGAAAGCGUGGGGAGCGAACAGGAUUAGAUACCCUGGUAGUCC